rnacentral:rRNA from 1 species
GACGUAGGGCGCGAGCGUUGUCCGGAUUUAUUGGGCGUAAAGAGCGCGCAGGCGGCCCGGCAAGUCGGGUGUGAAAUCCCGGGGCUCAACCCCGGGACUGCAUUCGAUACUGUCGGGCUAGAGGUAGGUAGGGGAGAUCGGAAUUCCUGGUGUAGCGGUGAAAUGCGCAGAUAUCAGGAGGAACACCGAUGGCGAAGGCAGGUCUCUGGGCAUUAACUGACGCUGAGGAGCGAAAGCAUGGGGAGCGAACAGG